UGGAACUCCUUGAUUUAGGGAACAACAAGAUCGAUGAUAAAUUUCCAGUUUGGUUGGAAAUUCUUUCUAACCUGGGGGUCCUAAUAUUGAGAUCUAAUCGAUUUCACGAGCAAUUGGCAAUUGUCAGACGAAAAGUCCAUUCCUCUGUUGAGAAUUAUUGAUGCAUCCCACAACGUGCUCACUGGUGCUCUACCUACGGAAAUCCUCAACAACUUCGCAGCUAUGAAAAGUUCAGAGGAUGACCAAAAGGGAGUUGAGUAUAUGACAAAGGACUCAUUUUUGAAGGAAAAGGACCUUAUUACGUCCAUUCUGUGAGUUUGAUUAUCAAGGGGUGGAGUAUAGUCUUGAAAGAGUCCUAAUAACUCGAACAGUGAUUGACCUCUCAAGCAACAGAUUCGAAGGACAAAUUCCCGAGAAUAUCGGAUCCCCUUCAUUCUCUUCAAACACUCUCUCUCGCUCAUAAUAACUUCAGUGGCCCAAUUCCUAAGGCAUUAGGGAAUUUGAGUAUGCUUGAAUCUCUGGACCUCUCUCUGGAACCGACUUGAUAGGAACCAUUCUACGGAGCUAGUGAAUCUGGAUUUUCUUGAAUUCUUAAACUUUUCUGAAAAUCGCCUUGUCGGACCCAUUCCAAGAGGAAGGCACUUUGAUACAUUUGGAGACGAUUCAUACAGAGGGAACUGGACUUGUGUGGAUUUGCACUGCCAAAGAUUGUGGAGAUACAGAGGCACCACCACCAGCCACGCCAUGGAAGCUAAACAACAAUAUGAUGAUUCUGAAUUCUUUGAUGGGUUCACUUGGAAAGCUGUUCUCCUGGGAUAUGGCUGUGAUUAGUGCUCGGAUCAGUUAUGGGAGGUCUCGUAUUCUCAACUGGAAAACCAAGAUGGUUGUACGAAUUGUCGAGAGUCGUCAAAUUGCGAAGGCGACGAGGAAAUGGAUCCACAUACGCACUUAAGAAGGGCAGAGCGAUAAUUUACAUAACUGUUUUUCCCAGGUCUGAAAAGCUUGACUUCUAAUGCCCAGGUCUAUCCAUGGAGUGGAAAUAAGAAAAGAUUUGGUUCAUUUGCAGUCGUAUGUGCCCAGGUCUAUCCAUGGAGUGUUUUUUAGGCUUGUUUCUCGUGGUUUUCAAGCCUCAGAGCCUUGUGGUUGCUUGCGCGCUGAAUCUGUAGGUUUAUAAUUGUAAGCAAGAAGACAUUUCAAUGGAUAAUUACUAUUAAUUGCGUAAGUAGUUCAGUAUGGCAAAGUUGUCCGGUCUUAAUUGUGUUUAACUAAUUCCACAUGUGAAAAAUGCUUUGUUCAAAAA